rnacentral:rRNA from 1 species
CCUACGGGUGGCAGCAGUGAGGAAUAUUGGUCAAUGGGCGAAAGUCUGAACCAGCCAUGCCGCGUGCAGGAUGAAGGCUCUAUGAUUUGUAAACUUCUUUUGUAUGGGGAUAAACUGAGAAACGUGUUCCUUUUUGUAUGUACCAUAUGAAUAAGCAUCGGCUAACUCCGUGCCAGCAGCCGCGGUAAUACGGAGGAUGCAAGCGUUAUCCGGAUUUAUUGGGUUUAAAGGGUGCGUAGGUGGUUGAUUAAGUUAGAGGUGAAAUGUUGGGGCUCAACCAUAAAAUUGCCUUUGAUACUGGUUGACUUGAGUAUAGUUGAGGUAGGCGGAAUGCGUGGUGUAGCGGUGAAAUGCAUAGAGAUCAUGCAGAACUCCGAUUGCGAAGGCAGCUUACUAAGCUAUAUCUGACGCUGAGGCACGAAAGCGUGGGGAUCAAACAGGAUUAGAUACCCGAGUAGUC